AACGAACGCUGGCGGCAGGCCUAACACAUGCAAGUCGAGCGCGCCUUCGGGUGAGCGGCGGACGGGUGAGUAACGCGUGGGAAUAUGCCCUUCUCUACGGAAUAGUCCUGGGAAACUGGGGGUAAUACCGUAUACGCCCUUUGGGGGAAAGAUUUAUCGGGGAAGGAUUAGCCCGCGUUGGAUUAGGUAGUUGGUGGGGUAAUGGCCUACCAAGCCGACGAUCCAUAGCUGGUUUGAGAGGAUGAUCAGCCACACUGGGACUGAGACACGGCCCAGACUCCUGCGGGAGGCAGCAGUGGGGAAUCUUAGACAAUGGGGGCAACCCUGAUCUAGCCAUGCCGCGUGAGUGAUGAAGGCCUUAGGGUUGUAAAGCUCUUUCAGCUGGGAAGAUAAUGACGGUACCAGCAGAAGAAGCCCCGGCUAACUCCGUG
rnacentral:rRNA from 1 species